UCGCUUUGGCAGCACAUAUACUAAAAUUAAAAUGAUACAGAGAGGAUUAGCAUGGCCCCUGAGCAAGGAUGACAGGCAAAUUCAGGAAGCAUUCCCUAUUUAA